AAAAAAUAAUCAUCUAUUGGAAUAUUGUUUUAAGAACAAAUGUAGUAAAGGUCAAAUAAGACAAAUACCAAACUUCAAGGAAAAUAAAACAUCCUUUACCAAAUGGCAAACUUAAUAGUCUUAACACAUCAUUCGAUUGGUAGACCAACUGUCAUAUUCCUUACUUGGUACAUGCAUUUCCUUAUUUAGAAAAUGGUUUUAAAGAUAGCUAAAUAUUUCUCUUAUAUGACAGAUACAUCGAAUUCUACCUACUUGACAACAACAAAGUGUGAAAAAA
rnacentral:lncRNA from 1 species